UUACAGACAGGUCCUCAAACUGUCACCCAGACUGAAGUGCAGUGGCACAAUCAUGGCUCACUGCAGCCUCAGCCUCCUGGGCCCCAGCAAUCCUCCCACCUCAGCCUCCCGAAUAGCUGGAACCACAGAUUUUGCUCUGGGUGCUGAAGCAGCCUGAAGCCUGGACACAGACAGGAAGAAGCCCUAAGGAUAGCCAGAGUCUCUGGAAAGGGAGGACCCCAUUGGACUAAAUCCUUUUGACUUUAAUCAACCCUACUCCAGGCAAACACCAGCAAAGAACUGGUCCUCCUUCCACUCUCACUGGUGGCUGAGGUGGUCCCUCAGGGGGAGAGUCCUGCUGAGUCU
rnacentral:lncRNA from 13 species